rnacentral:lncRNA from 1 species
UACAGGUUUCCUCUACAAAUAACAUUUUUUUCCCCUUUUUGCCCCUGACAGUGAUGGGACAAAGCCAUGCCUAUGCGUUUCUCAGUUUGCGAAACCUUCUGGGUACAGAGCCAAUUAUAGGUCUAGGUCACAUAGUGGAGUGUCGAACAAUGUCUCGACCAACCUUUUUCCUGUGCCUGAACUGUGCUAAAAAGAUCAGCAGAGAGGACUUUUGUAGCCACAUGACUAGUGAACCACACUGGCAUUUUUCCAUUAGGGUUCAGUAUCCUGAGGAAUUUCAGGAGUGGCAGGCCCAUUAUCACACGCUGGCUAUUCGGGACUUGGCUGGAAGGAUUGCAUUGAGGGAACAGAACUCAGAUGCCAAGGUCAUCAAACUGGAUCAAAAGCAGUAUGAGAGGAUGCAGUCUGCAGAUUUCUUCAGUGCAUUUGAAAUGCUACUGAACAUGUAUGGACCAGACCAGAGCCAAAAUUCCCUGCCUUUACACUUCGAACGCCAGAAUCAGAGAGAAAUUUCUUCAGCACAUUUACUACAAGUCCGUGUAGAUACUGAUAGAGAGACACCAAGACAUCAGUCUCCUGUCAGCUGUGAUCUGAAUCCAAGCCAGGCAAAACAUGGGCUUCCCACCAGCCCAGUACCAGAUAGUGCUUUUGAUGGAGCUAAGGACAACCCUGACAGAAGCACUGAAAUCAGUAGUCUCACCUGUAAUCAGUCACAGCUCAGUCAAAGCCCAGAGAAAACCUGCAUGAACUCAAAGACUGAGGCUCAGGCUGAGGCCCCGGCACAGCUGAUCCAGCAUCAGUUUAAAACUGGUCUAACAGCAGAGUCUCCCAAGGAUUCAGGCAACAACACUGAUACCACACCAGAAACACCUGAUGCAUGUAAGUAA